AUAAAUAUGAAGGGUUGAGUUUCCAAGGGGUGUGUCGCUUGGGAAUUAUAUGUCGUACCCUUUGGAUUGAUCACAAAUACAAUAAUUUGUAACAGAUGCAUUCAGGAACUGAGGAGCGGACGUCGCAGCCAAGUGGGACGCCACGCCAUAUGCCCGUGCGGCCAUGCCAACGUGCUGCGCGGUGCCCCGGCGGGCCGCGCCUCGGCACGCGUCCACUCCAGUGAGCACGGCAGACGCGACGCCUGGCAAGCAGAGGAAGCAGUAGACGGUAGACCACUACUCAACUAGUAGAGCUUCAAGACUUGCUCGUGCAACAGGUAAUCCAAACGUUUGUUUGCAUGCACACCGAGGCGCUAGAUUCGGACCGACAACACGAGGCCGGGCCGAUCCACAUGACGAGGGUGUCGGCUUAGACACAGCUCAUGUGGAUGAUUUUAUUGACCCCAUGAGACGGUAGGCAACUUAACAUAUCACAACUUGGAUGGGAAUUCAGUUCACUCUUCCAUAUGCGCCUGUUGUUCCAAAAACAUCCAGGCAGAAGUUCUGGGAGCUAUUUUAUGGAGGAUUUAGGAGAAUAAGAAUAAUCAUGUCUUUAGAGGAGAGGAGUCUGAUGUUCAUAUAAUUCUUGCAAUGGUACUUAGUGAUAUAAACAUACGGCGCCAUCGUUUCCCCCGAAUGCGCGAGGG
rnacentral:lncRNA from 7 species